rnacentral:rRNA from 1 species
GACGAACGCUGGCGGCGUGCUUAACACAUGCAAGUCGUACGGUAAGGCCCUUUCGGGGGUACACGGGUGGCGAACGGGGGAGUAACACGAGCGUAACCUGCCCACAACUUUGGGAUAACGCUAGGAAACUGGAACUGAUACUGAAUAUGGGCUCCUGCUGCAUGGUGGGGGUUGGAAAGCUCCGGCGGUUGUGGAUGGACUCGCGGCCUAUCAGCUUGUUGGUGGGGUAGUGGCCUACCAAGGCGGCGACGGGUAGCCGGCCUGAGAGGGUGACCGGCCACAUUGGGACUGAGAUACGGCCCAGACUCCUACGGGAGGCAGCAGUGGGGAGUAUUGCACAAUGGGCGCAAGCCUGAUGCAGCAACGCCGCGGGCGGGAUGACGGCCUUCGGGUUGUAAACCGCUUUCAGCAGGGACGAAGCUUUUUGUGACGGUACCUGCAGAAGAAGCACCGGCUAACUACGUG